rnacentral:lncRNA from 1 species
AAGAAAGAAGGGGUGUGUUCAGGAGUCCCAGCAACGCACAAGACUAGGAGCAGGACAGCCUCCUCGGAUCCCACCUCUUGGUACUUCACACAAAAGACUGUUGUGAGGAUUAAGAGUUUAGAACAAUGUCUGGCAAGUUUGCUGGUUUUAUGAAACGAAGUCAUGCAAAUCUGCUUUAGAAAAGAUGAAUGUGAGCUAAUAGGAAAAUUCAGAAGGAAUGCUGUCACAGAGGACUUGCAGUGAAUGGUGGCACCUGGGAGGGUCUGGAGGUACCGAGGGUCUGAUAGGCAGCCAGGAGGUGCCAGCCAGUGCCAGUGUGUGGGGGAGGUGUUGGGCAGCCGUGGUGGGGGGGUUGGAGCAGAUGGUGCAGGGUACUGAUACUACAUGGGUAGGCCAUGUCAGGCAGUUGGCAGUGCUGGAGGAGGUGGCACCUGCUAGGACAUUUUCUCUGGAGGUGAGGAUGACAUGCACCUGCCGUUUUUACAACCUGGACAGGUAGACCUUUGAACUGAUUUUCUCUUGACCGAAACAGCAGAACACACUAGACACACACAGGUAUUGCAGGUGCUUAUGAGCAAAAGAUGAUCAUUGAGAGUCAGCUUGGAAUCAUGCAGACAAAGUCCUGCCGAAAGCAUCCUUUUUUUAAAAAGCAAGAUUACUACCUGUUAGAUCAGGGUAGUAUCUGUUAGAUGCCAGGGACCAAGAUCACAGGGGGAUGUUAGGGUGAUGCCAGCAAGUCUUCUGACCACGAUGUGACACUCUUGUGACUUCAGCGGAGAGCUGGGAGGAGAGUUUUGAAUAAUUAGAAGGACUGUCCCUGGUAGGACCACCCUGUCCAGAGUGCGGAUGGACAGUUUGUUGCAGAGAGCAAUGGUUUCUCUACGGACACCUUAAAGGGCCAUGAUCUUGAUUUCUGGUGUUCAUAUUUUAUCAACAAGUUGGUUGAGGACCACAUGCCAUCAACAGCUCAUGGGACCCUGGCUGUUAAAGGCCACGCCACACCAAGGGCAGAAUCUACCUUCACAAAUGUUGUUACAUGGGGUACGUGGUUUCAGUUGGGGAACUGAAAAAAGUUCUGAAGAUGGAUGGGGAAGGUUCUUAAGGUCACGGAACUGUUCACCUAAAAAUGGUUAAAGUGGUGUGUUUUAUUAUGUGUCUUUUACUGCAAUAAAGUGUUUUUAAAAGGUUGUUAUAACUGAGAGAAUAAGGUUUCUUAUAUAAAUUCUAUUUAGCACAAGGGCUAAAAGCCAAAGGACAGUGCGUCUCACUUCUUGCUGUGCUGUGACAUAUUUGCGCUGAUAAGCUUUCAGUUCAGAUGGAUUCGAAAGCAAGGCCACACUGAGAGAAGGCGUUGGGGAGUUUCCACUUCGUGUUUGUUUUGGUUUUGGAUAUGCACUAUUUGAGGUUCAGUGAAAACAAAACUGAAAAGGGAAAAAACUGAAAAGGUUUGCGUAAAGGGAACUUGAAGCCAUCACCUCAAUAGAACUAACUAACAGAUUCAAAUAAAAACCCAGAAUUUAAAACAAUUCAGAUUGACCAAUUUAUUUACAAAAAUUAUAAUAAAUAAAUUAUAAUAAAUAAAUUAUACCAACAAAACAUAUGGGAAAAGUUUGCUGACAGGAUUGGCCGUGUAUAUGACAUAUCAUGACUGUAUUUUAUUUCAUAUUUUGAAUCUAUUUCAUUAACUUUGUAUAAAUACAUUUUUUUUCUUUUUCUUUUUAGGGUCGCACCUGCGGCACUUGGAAGUUCCCAGGCUAGGGGUGAAAUUGGAGCUGCAGCUGCCAGCCUUCACCACAGCCACAGCUACACCACAUCCGAGCCUCAUCUGCGACCUACACCACAGCUCAUGGCAACACUGGAUCCUUAACCCACUGAGUGAGGCCAGGGAUUGAACCUGCAUCAUCACAGACACUAUGUGGGUUCUUAACCCCCUCAGCCACAAGAGAGCUCCUGUGUAACUACUUUUUAACUCCACUCACUGUCCAUGGGAAGCUUCAGUGAGGGGUGUGCUUGGCCUGGCUGCUAUGCCUUUAAGAUACUCUGCAGUCUUGACCCCAAGGCAGCUCUGGAGCAGGGUUGGGAUAGGGGGUCGUAUAAGAACCUGGCCAUUUCUGACAACGCAGGGCACCCCUAAGGCCGGCUCUGCUCGGGGCACCCCAUCAGCCUGGCCAAGGCUUUCCAGGAGCCACAUCUCAAUUAGAGGCUCCUCACACCUAGCACUCCCUCCUCCUGCUCUACUCACCCAGGUGUCAGAACUGCAUCGGAUCCUGAAGACCCUGGCCUGUAUCCUUCCCAGGCAUCCCCUUGAAAGCUCACCCCUGCCUAAUCCUGCUCGGCAUAGCUUCCUGGAGGAGGAAGACCAAAGAGGCCUGGAAGCUUUGGGGCAUCAAGUUGGGCCGCGUAUCUAGCAGGAGGGACCCCCCCACCCCGCGUCGAAAUAAAGAGGGUCCCUUCUCUCUGUUUGUGCAUCAGGCUUCCAGACACCAUCCCCUCCCCCAGCCUCUUCUUUGUGGGCUUCUUUGAAACCCUCUCUCCUCCCUCCCGCUCCAGUUUUGAUAAAUACUCUCUUUACAAGUGCUAAUAUGCUCACUACCAUCUACGGAAUGGAGGGUCAACAGGGACCUGCUGUCUAGCACCAGGAACUCUACCCAAUAUUCUGCAAUAACCUAAAUGGGAAAAGAAUCUGAAAAAGAAUGGAUGUGUGCAUGUGUAUAACUGAAUCACUUUGCUGUACUGCAGAAAUUAACACAACACUGUCAUCAACUGUUCUCC